rnacentral:rRNA from 1 species
AGAGAUURAACUGAAGAGUUUGAUCCUGGCUCAGAUUGAACGCUGGCGGCAUGCCUUACACAUGCAAGUCGAACGGCAGCGCGGGGCAACCUGGCGGCGAGUGGCG